CGCCAGACUCCUACGGGAGGCAGCAGUGGGGAAUAUUGCACAAUGGGGGAAACCCUGAUGCAGCGACGCCGCGUGAGCGAUGAAGUAUUUCGGUAUGUAAAGCUCUAUCAGCAGGGAAGAAGAUGACGGUACCUGACUAAGAAGCCCCGGCUAACUACGUGCCAGCAGCCGCGGUAAUACGUAGGGGGCAAGCGUUAUCCGGAUUUACUGGGUGUAAAGGGGGCGCAGACGGCGAUGCAAGCCAGGAGUGAAAGCCCGGGGCCCAACCCCGGGACUGCUCUUGGAACUGCGUGGCUGGAGUGCAGGAGGGGCAGGCGGAAUUCCUGGUGUAGCGGUGAAAUGCGUAGAUAUCAGGAGGAACACCGGUGGCGAAGGCGGCCUGCUGGACGGCAACUGACGUUGAGGCCCGAAAGCGUGGGGAGCAAACAGGAUUAGAUACCCCCGUAGAC
rnacentral:rRNA from 1 species